GACGAACGCUAGCGGCGUGCUUAACACAUGCAAGUCGAACGGUGAAGGGAUCAGCUUGCUGGUUCUGGAUGAGUGGCGAACGGGUGAGUAACACGUGCGUAACCUGCCCCCUUCUUCUGGAUAACCGCAUGAAAGUGUGGCUAAUACGGGAUAUUCUGCGCCUGCUGCCUGGUGGGUGUGGGAAAGAAAUUGUUUCGGUGGGGGAUGGGCUCGCGGCCUAUCAGCUUGUUGGUGGGGUGAUGGCCUACCAAGGCGGUGACGGGUAGCCGGCCUGAGAGGGUGGACGCUCACACUGGGACUGAGACACGGCCCAGACUCCUACGGGAGGCAGCAGUGGGGAAUAUUGCACAAUGGGCGCAAGCCUGAUGCAGCGACGCCGCGUGAAGGAUGGAGGCCUUCGGGUUGUGAACCUCUUUCGCCAGUGAAGUAGGCCUGUCCCUUGUGGGUGGGUUGACGGUAGCUGGAUAAGAAGCGCCGGCUAACUACGUG
rnacentral:rRNA from 1 species